UACGAAGGGGCUAGCGUUGCUCGGAAUCACUGGGCGUAAAGCGCACGUAGGCGGAUUGCUAAGUCAGGGGUGAAAUCCUGGAAGCUCAACUCCAGAACUGCCCUUGAUACUGGCGGUCUCGAGUCCGGGAGAGGUGAGUGGAACUGCGAGUGUAGAGGUGAAAUUCGUAGAUAUUCGCAAGAACACCAGUGGCGAAGGCGGCUCACUGGCCCGGUACUGACGCUGAGGUGCGAAAGCGUGGGAGCAACAGG
rnacentral:rRNA from 1 species